CGGUAAUUCCAGCUCCAAUAGCGUAUACUAAAGUUGUUGCAGUUAAAAAGCUCGUAGUUGGAUUUCUGCGGGGACGGAGCGGCCGGACGCAACUUGCGUCUCGAGCUAGCGCUUUCCCCGCAUCCUGCCGCGAACCGUGCUACCAUUAGCUUGGUGGCGCUGGGGAUCGGCUCGAUUACUUUGAGAAAAAUAGAGUGUUCAAAGCAGGCCACACGCCUUGAAUAAGUUAGCAUGGAAUAAUGACUAAGGACUUCAGUUCUAUUUUGCUGGUGUUCGGGACUGAAGUAAUGAUUGAUAGGGACAGUUGGGGCGGUCUGUAUUCCAAAGCGAGAGGUGAAAUUCUUAGACCUUCGGAAGACAAACAGCUGCGAAAGCGUUCCGCAAGGAUGUUCCCUUUGAUCAAGAACGAAAGUUGGGGGAUCGAAGACGAUCAGAUACCGUCGUAGUCUCAACUAUAAACUAUACCAGCUAGGGAUCGGUCAACGUUUAAUCAUUCGACUUGAUCGGCACCUUAUGAGAAAUCAAAGCAUCUGGGUUCCGGGGGGAGUAUGGUCGCAAGGCUGAAACUUAAAGGAAUUGACGGAAGGGCACCACCAGCCGUGGAGCCUGUGGCUUAAUUUGACUCAACACGGGAAAACUUACCAGGUCCAGACAUAGUAAGGAUUGACAGAUUGAUAGCUCUUUCUUGAUUCUGUGGGUGGUGGCGCAUGGCCGUUCUUAGUUGGUGGAGUGAUUUGUCUGGUUAAUUCCGUUAACGAACGAGACCCCAGCCUGCUAAAUAGCGCGGCUGAGCUUUGCUCGGUGCGAGCUUCUUAGAGGGACUAUGAUGCGCGAUAGCACAUGGAAGUUUGGGGCAAUAACAGGUCUGUGAUGCCCUUAGAUGUUCUGGGCCGCACACGGGCUACACUGGCGCCUGCAACGAGCAUAUCAGCUGGCCCGAGAGGGUCUUGGCUAAUCUUUUGAACCGGCGCCGUGCUUGGGAUUGACCAUUGCAAUUGUUGGUCAUGCAACGAGGAAUGCCUUGUAAACGCGAGUCAUCAGCUCGCAUUGAAUACGUCCCUGCCCUUUGUACACACCGCCC
rnacentral:rRNA from 1 species